AACGAACGCUGGCGGCAUGCCUAACACAUGCAAGUCGAACGAAGCCUUCGGGCUUAGUGGCGCACGGGUGCGUAACGCGUGGGAAUCUGCCCCUUGCUUCGGAAUAACAGUUAGAAAUGACUGCUAAUACCGGAUGAAGUCUUCGGACCAAAGAUUUAUCGGCAAGGGAUGAGCCCGCGUAGGAUUAGGUAGUUGGUGGGGUAAAGGCCUACCAAGCCGACGAUCCUUAGCUGGUCUGAGAGGAUGAUCAGCCACACUGGGACUGAGACACGGCCCAGACUCCUACGGAAGGGAGCAGUAGAGAAUAUUGGACAAUGGACGCAAGUCUGAUCCAGCAAUGCCGCGUGAGUGAUGAAGGCCUUAGGGUUGUAAAGCUCUUUUACCAGGGAUGAUAAUGACAGUACCUGGAGAAUAAGCUCCGGCUAACUCCGUG
rnacentral:rRNA from 1 species